ACCUUGGUGCUACUGUUGUGACCGGCUUGACGAUAAAUUUAGUCUUGCAAACGUGUGUGGUCGGUUGUGCUCGAUAAAAUUCAAAACAAAAUUGUGAUAUUUACAUGUCUACUGGCUAUUUAUAGUUACGGCAGUUACAUGAAUUGGCCCUGUGAACACGACUCGAUUCCAGGAAGUGAACAUUGGUCAACGUUAAUUAUUUGCCCAUUUGUCGCUUCCUCGUGUCCUCGUGUUGCCGGGAAGGAAGACCCACUGGUUGAUUUCGCACCUGUUUAUAAGAAUCACUUUGCUCCAGACCAGUUUGAACCGACAGACUUGGUGAAGUGGUAAAACGUAAGCCAAAUGCUUUGCCAACCAUUUUUGGUGAUCGUAAAGCUCUUGCCGAGAGGAAACCUGUUGGCCUACUAGAGAAACGGACUGAGGAUACAGAGGUUGAGAAGCCUUCGAAUGUGACCAAUGACAUCAGUCCUGCAGCGAACUUGGACACAACAGAAGAUGAAGUCACCACCCCGAAGAACCUAGCUUCAGGCUGGAAUUGAAGCUUUAAAGAGAAAACUCAUCGUCUCUCAGCAGUAUGAACAAAGGGGACAUUAAAGGUAGCAAAUGGUCAGUGGAAACACUGCAGAAAGGGCUAAAAAUUAGACCACCUUGUAGUAGUAUGGGGUACAAAGUCCUGCUGGAAAAUAAAUUACCAUUUCCUUCAGAUAGAGCCCCAAUAUGUUCGCUACAGAGCAUUCAAUUUAGACCUAGUGUGCUGAGGGAGCUCGUGAGUUCCCUGAAAGUCAAGCUUGCCCUCAUGUUACCAGUGGAGAUGCAUGCUCUUCUCCUGAUGGAUGAGGUUAGUAUCACUCACCAUUGGAAUGUGAUUGAGCAUUGGCUGCACCAUUGAUAAUGAUACGACACCUCCACCAGAUCUCGCCCUUGCAAAAACUACAGCUUCUAAUGCAUUAGUUCUUAUGCUGGGUGGUAUUACCUCAAGAUGGAAACAAACAAUUGGUUACCAUUACACAGGGCCAUCUUUUUCCAGUUCUCACGCCAGACAUCAUUAUAAGCUGUAUUAGGGAGUCUUAGGCACUCGUACAAUGUUCGCUGCAUCGCGUCAGUGACGGGAGGGCAAAAUUGAGCUGUAUGGCGAGAAUUUGCAAUUGUUGUCGAAAGGUUUUCAAAAUUAGUUUCUGCCAGUGUGUUUGUGACGAUAAUUGGAAACUAAUUUUCCUUACAGAUACACCACACAUUUUGAAAAACGAGGGUUCACUUAGUCAAUGGGCAAUCGGACUUCCUCUGACGAAAUGUUGUCGAGGGACGUGAUCUGCCUUGUAAUGAGGUACAUAUAAAUCGUGUAUAACAGUGGCUUGAGGUAGACAGUGGUUUAAGUCUUAAACUGACACCAAAACUGUGUGAGGGAUUUCUGAGGCCAAACCAUUACAAGAAAAUGAAAGUUGGAUCGUCUACUGCCAUAAUGAACAGCCAGACUGCAGCAGCCAGUGAGUAUGCUGUCAAGACAGAGAAACUGCAGAGAAAUACUUUAACCACAGCACGGUUUCUAAAGCACAUUCGUAAGUGGUCUUGCCUCAUGACAUCCAGAGCUCCAGUUAUGCCUCUGAGUCGUUCUGAUCAACAAACAUACAGUGAGGCUCUCUGCCAUCUUCAGGACACUCUGUGAUUAUUUGGAAACUUGAAAAUUGGCCUGAACAGUGCCUGGAAACCAGUUCAGUGUGGUGUAGUUUUGACAGUUGGAGGUAUUUUGGAAUUGCAGAACACAUUCCUGAAUGAGGAGAAAUUUAAAUUUUUGCUAAUAAGUAGAUUUACACAAGAUACCUUGGAAAAUCUGUCAGCAAUGCUCCACUUCCAAAAUCCAGUAGCAACGCUACGAGAAGUAAAAUCGUCACUGAGGGUUAUUACUCUUUCUCAGUUCUUUAAUACUGCCACUGAUAAUAAUCAAAUUAAGACAGUAGUUUGCAGGCAGAACUACUGGGUGAAUCUGUAAGUGAAGACAAUGAUAAGUGUGCUGAGGAAGUUGGAGAGCCACUUUGUAACAUGGUGUGUGACGAAGAGCAGCAGUCUCAAUACUAUUUGUGUGGUCACACUGUCAGGCAGGUUAUGAAGUGUCAUGCACUUUGCAAAUUUUGCGAGGAGCACCUAAUAGCGUGCAAAGAAAAUCUCUGUACCUGUGUGAACGUGCUUUUACAUCUGAAGUCCUUCACAGAUACCUCACUUAUUGAGCCAUCAAGUGAGGUCUUAAGUGUGUUGCAAAAGGCAGAGAUGUGUUUGAGAAGCAACAAGAAGAAAUUACUCACAGGUGAAUUGUUGCUCUCUGAUGCAGCCACUGCAGUGCCUGCAUCAGUGAAGGAGAAAGUAGUUUUCCCAGCCUGCCACAGUGUACAGGAGAAAAUAAUUCAUCACAGUUUCCUGGCAACAAGAAUUCAUCUGGUUCCAAGGGAGGGAAAUAAAAGAUAUCACGGUGUAGUGACACAAGGCAGUAGAAGCAGGCCAUGACAAAGUUACUGCAGAAACUGUGAGUCCCAAAAUCACUCUUUAGUAAAUGAUUUGAAAAAUUGACAUCCAAACUUCAUUUGGUUGCCAUUUUCUCUUCAAGUGGUCUCAUUUUUGUUUAAAUCACAGUGAUUUUUAUAAAUUUUUGUUCUAUGUUUCUUUCUGAGUAUGGAGUACUUUUAUUAUAUCAUAUAUUAUUUGCAAGUAAACUAUGUCACUCUCCAGGUUUCAGAUUGAUGCAUAUAUAAAUAAAAACUUCACCCUUCUGACCUGUGUACAUAUUUGACUUCUGUGCUUUGCCACCAACUUUGUGUCUUCCUUGUGCUUCAUUUAUGUCGUUUAUUUUUUUCUCUGGAUUUUAAUAGCUUUUUAUACAUACAGUGUACCCAUAUUUUAUAUAAUAUUGUAGAGAGGAAAAAAGUAUACAUUCACUCAGUAAGAACAUUAGCUUGUACUCUAUACUCU